UAGAGUUGUGGGCUCAGACAUAGCGAAUCUGUAUGAAUUUCCCUGGAUGGCUGCCAUAGCGGUCAAAGGGAACCAUGAUAACAUUAUAUAUAUUUGCUCUGGGACAAUUAUCGACACUACACAUAUUCUCACAGCUGCUCAUUGCGUCACAGACCAGAAUAUAGUUCAUAUUCGUGUUGGAGAUUAUGAUCUUACACAACAAGAGGAUUGUCAAGAGAUAAUGGGAAAUUUUGUAUGUGAGAAUUACGUGCAGGAUUUAUUUGUUGAGAAAUCAUUUGUGCAUGAAAUGUAUGAUGGAAAGUUUCACGACAUAGCUUUGAUAAAAUUGAAGACAAAAAUUGAUUUUAAUCACA